rnacentral:rRNA from 1 species
AUUGAACGCUGGCGGCAUGCCUAACACAUGCAAGUCGAACGCCGUAGCAAUACGGAGUGGCAGACGGGUGAGUAACGCGUGGGAACAUACCCUUCGGUUCGGAAUAACUCAGGGAAACUUGUGCUAAUACCGGAUACGUCCGAGGUCAAACUUGGAGAAAGACUUAUCGCCGGAGGAUUGGCCCGCGUCUGAUUAGCUUGUUGGUGAGGUAAUGGCUCACCAAGGCGACGAUCAGUAGCUGGUCUGAGAGGAUGAUCAGCCACAUUGGGACUGAGACACGGCCCAAACUCCUACGGGAGGCAGCAGUGGGGAAUAUUGGACAAUGGGCGAAAGCCUGAUCCAGCCAUGCCGCGUGAGUGAUGAAGGCCUUAGGGUUGUAAAGCUCUUUACCUGGGAAGAUAAUGACGGUACCGGGAGAAUAAG